GGGGAGAGCGCUGGAUCUUGGGCUGUGUCCCCCGGCGCCCUGGGCUCUCAGGCCUGUGCUGCUGGAAUUGGGCUCCCAGCCAUGCAGCCCCUU
rnacentral:pre_miRNA from 1 species